rnacentral:rRNA from 1 species
AAAGGUUAAGCCAUGCAUGUCUAAGUAUAAAUGACUUAUACAGUGAAACUGCGAAUGGCUCAUUACAUCAGUUAUUGUUUAUUUGGAGGCUACCGUUACUUGGAUAACCCUGUUAACUUAGAGCUAAUACAUGCCAGAAGUCCCGACGGGCCCUCGCGACCCGAAGGGAUGCACUUGUUAGCCUUAUAAGCCAAUGCGGGUCAUUAACCAUCGGCGGGGCAACCUGUCGGUGGGACCCGGCCACUGGUGACUCAUAACAAUUGAGCAAAUCGCAUGGCCCCGCGCCGGCGAUACUCCAUUCAAAUUUCUGCCCUAUCAACUUUCGAUGGUAGGAUCGGGGCCUACCAUGGUUGCAACGGGUAACGGGGAAUUAGGGUUUGAUUCCGGAGAGGGAGCUUGAGAAACGGCUACCACUUCCAAGGAAGGCAGCAGGCGCGAAAAUUACCCAAUCCCGACUUGGGGAGGUAGUGACAACAAAUAACAAUAGGGGUCCCUUACGGGACUUCUAAUUGGAAUGAGUACAAUUUAAACCCCUUAACGAUGAGCAACUGGAGGGCAAGUCAGGUGCCAGCAGCCGCGGUAAUUCCUGCUCCAGUAGCGUAUAUUAAAGUUGUUGCGGUUAAAAAGCUCGUAGUUGGAUUUCUGGGGUUAUGGAGGCUGGACCGCGCAUUGUCGUGAGCUCUAGCCACCUGGCCCCUUACCCUUCUGGAAGUUCGCCGCUGCGCUUAGCUGUGCGGCGGUUAGUGGAGGUACUGCGCGUUUCGGCGCGUGGUAUUUUACCCGAACUCCAGAUCUUUUACUUUGAAAAAAUUAGAGUGUUCAAAGCAGGCGGAUUGUGCCUUGAAUACAUUAGCAUGGGAUAAUGCCAUAGGACUCCGUUCCUCUUCGUUGGUUUCUAGGAAAUGGAGUAAUGAUUAAUAGGGAUAGUUGGGGUGAUUCGUAUUUCAUUGUCAGAGGUGAAAUUCUUGGAUUUUUGAAAGACGAACAUCUGCGAAAGCAUUUCACAAGGAUGUUUUCAUUAAUCAAGAACGAAAGUUGGGGGAUCGAAGGCGAUUAGAUACCGUCGUAGUCUCAACCUUAAACUAUGCCGACCAGGGAUCGGAAGACGUUACAUUUAGACUCCUCCGGCACCUUGUGAGAAAUCAUAAGUUUUUGGGCUUCGGGGGGAGUAUGGUCGCAAGGCUGAAACUUAAAGGAAUUGACGGAAGGGCACCACCAGGUGUGGAGCCUGCGGCUUAAUUUGACCCAACACGGGAAAACUUACCAGGUCCAGACAGCAGAAGGAUUGACAGAUUGAGAGCUCUUCCUUGAUUUGCUGGGUGGUGGUGCAUGGCCGUUCUUAGUUGGUGGGGUGACCUGUCUGGUUAAUUCAGGUAACGAGCGAGACCUCAGCCAGUUAAAUAGCACUGCGGACUUUAAUCC